rnacentral:rRNA from 1 species
UCAUCGCUGUUUGCGGUGUUUAACUGGCACGUUGUGAGACGUCUUGCCGGAAGGGCAUGGUAUAUGUUUUAUAUGUUGUUCGAACAUAAUGUACAUUAAUCAUAAUAAUUUAUAUUUAAAUAUAGAGUGUAAAAACUUUAUAUUUUAUAUUAUUGUUAUUGAUUUUAUGUUACAUUAUGUUUUAUGGACCAUAUAAUAACGUAUACGUAGUCCGACUUUUUUUAAAAAUCCUGUCUAGGUGCUCUUAAUUGAGUGUCGUGGCGGGCCGGCACGUUUACUUUGAACAAAUUAGAGUGCUUAAAGCAGGCUUAUGUUGCCUGAAUAUAGUGUGCAUGGAAUAAUGAAACAGGACCUCGGUUCUAUUUUGUUGGUUUUCUGAUCAAACGAGGUAAUGAUUAAUAGGGACAGAUGGGGGCAUUCGUAUUGCGACGUUAGAGGUGAAAUUCUUGGAUCG